GACGAACGCUGGCGGCGUGCCUAACACAUGCAAGUCGAGCGGGGAGAGAUUUUCGGAUUUCUCUUUAGCGGCGGACGGGUGAGUAACACGUGGGUAACCUGCCUCAAAGAGGGGGAUAGCCUUCCGAAAGGAAGAUUAAUACCGCAUAAUAUCAGGAAGCUGCAUGGCAUUCUGAUUAAAGGAGGAAUCCGCUUUGAGAUGGACCCGCGGCGCAUUAGCUAGUUGGUGAGGUAACGGCCCACCAAGGCGACGAUGCGUAGCCGACCUGAGAGGGUGAUCGGCCACAUUGGAACUGAGACACGGUCCAGACUCCUACGGGAGGCAGCAGUGGGAAAUAUUGCACAAUGGGGGAAACCCUGAUGCAGCAACGCCGCGUGAGUGAUGAAGGCCUUCGGGUCGUAAAGCUCUUUGAUCAGGGACGAUAAUGACGGUACCUGAAAAACAAGCCACGGCUAACUACGUGCCAGCCGCCGCCGUAAGAC
rnacentral:rRNA from 1 species